UCGCCUCCUGCAAAUCAAAGUAUAAGAGGUAACGCCUGCCCAGUGACUCAUGUUUAACGGCCGCGGUAUUUUAACCGUGCAAAGGUAGCGCAAUCACUUGUCUUUUAAAUGAAGACCUGUAUGAAUGGCAUCACGAGGGCUUACCUGUCUCCUUUUCCAAGUCAAUGAAAUUGAUCUGCCCGUGCAGAAGCGGACAUACCCUUACAAGACGAGAAGACCCUGUGGAGCUUAAGACAUAAGGCCAACCACGUCAAACAAUCAAGUUCACAGUUAUAAACAAAUGUUACAUGGCCAACAUGUCUUCGGUUGGGGCGACCACGGGGGAAAAACAAGCCCCCACGUGGAAUGGGGCUCCCACCCCCAAGCCAAGAAAUACACCUCCAAGCCUCAGAACAUCUGCCCAUAAAUGACCCGGCCAAGCCGAUUAACGAACCAAGUUACCCCAGGGAUAACAGCGCAAUCCCCUCCAAGAGCCCAUAUCGACGAGGGGGUUUACGACCUCGAUGUUGGAUCAGGACAUCCUAAUGGUGCAGCCACUAUUAAGGGUUCGUUUGUUCAACGAUUAAAGUCCUACGUGAUCUGAGUUCAGACCGGAGUAAUC
rnacentral:rRNA from 1 species